CAUCUCGAAAGGGAUGCUAAUACCGCAUACGCCCUACGGGGGAAAGCAGGGGAUCACUUGUGACCUUGCGUUAAUAGAUGAGCCUAAGUCGGAUUAGCUAGUUGGUGGGGUAAAGGCCUACCAAGGCGACGAUCUGUAGCGGGUCUGAGAGGAUGAUCCGCCACACUGGGACUGAGACACGGCCCAGACUCCUACGGGAGGCAGCAGUGGGGAAUAUUGGACAAUGGGGGGAACCCUGAUCCAGCCAUGCCGCGUGUGUGAAGAAGGCCUUAUGGUUGUAAAGCACUUUAAGCGAGGAGGAGGCUCUCUUGGUUAAUACCCAAGAAGAGUGGACGUUACUCGCAGAAUAAGCACCGGCUAACUCUGUGCCAGCAGCCGCGGUAAUACAGAGGGUGCGAGCGUUAAUCGGAUUUACUGGGCGUAAAGCGUGCGUAGGCGGCUUUUUAAGUCGGAUGUGAAAUCCCCGAGCUUAACUUGGGAAUUGCAUUCGAUACUGGGAAGCUAGAGUAUGGGAGAGGAUGGUAGAAUUCCAGGUGUAGCGGUGAAAUGCGUAGAGAUCUGGAGGAAUACCGAUGGCGAAGGCAGCCAUCUGGCCUAAUACUGACGCUGAGGUACGAAAGCAUGGGGAGCAAACAGGAUUAGAUACCCUGGUAGUCCAUGCCGUAAACGAUGUCUACUAGCCGUUGGGGCCUUUGAGGCUUUAGUGGCGCAGCUAACGCGAUAAGUAGACCGCCUGGGGAGUACGGUCGCAAGACUAAAACUCAAAUGAAUUGACGGGGGCCCGCACAAGCGGUGGAGCAUGUGGUUUAAUUCGAUGCAACGCGAAGAACCUUACCUGGUCUUGACAUAGUAAGAACUUUCCAGAGAUGGAUUGGUGCCUUCGGGAACUUACAUACAGGUGCUGCAUGGCUGUCGUCAGCUCGUGUCGUGAGAUGUUGGGUUAAGUCCCGCAACGAGCGCAACCCUUUUCCUUAUUUGCCAGCACUUCGGGUGGGAACUUUAAGGAUACUGCCAGUGACAAACUGGAGGAAGGCGGGGACGACGUCAAGUCAUCAUGGCCCGUACGACCAGGGCUACACACGUGCUACAAUGGUCGGUACAAAGGGUUGCUACCUAGCGAUAGGA
rnacentral:rRNA from 1 species